UUUGUAAUAAGCUAAGAAAGCUAUCGGGCUCAUAAUCCGACAAUGACAUUGUUCUUACAAAG
rnacentral:tRNA from 1 species